rnacentral:lncRNA from 1 species
AUGCUAUGACAACACAAUUUCCCUUGGAUAGGACCAACCAUUAAACUCCAUCCUCCAAUCCUCGGAAGCAUCACCAAAGUUGCCUACCCUCUUGAACCAAAAGGCUAGCAAUUGAAGACUUGAAAUGGUGCUGUCUAUCGGGACUUUAAACCCAUAUAAAUUUUUAUUUUGGAAUAAAAUCUCUAAUCCCACAAGGAUAGCUGUAGCAUUAUGUACCGGCA